GCUGGUGAUUGAUACUUUCAACGGCAUCCAACUUGAAUGGCAGUUUGUUUUGGAAGUGCCUGAAAAUCAAAAAGAUCAUUUUCAACCUGAGAAAAGGUACUUUGAACUCCGUUUUAAUAAACAGUAUAGAGAAAUGGUGUUGAAUGAGUAUUUGCCUUUUGUAAUAGAAAAGGCCAAAGAAAUUAGGGACAAAGACAGGAAUGUGAAAUUGUACACAAGAGAUUGCCCAUUUUCUUACUCAGACGAUGAAGAAGAUGGAGUAAAUGGAAGUGGGAUGUGGGGUUGUGUGAAUUUGGAUCAUCCCGUGACUUUUGAGAAAUUGGCAAUGGACCCACAAUCGAAGGCACAAAUAAUUGAGGAUUUGGACAGGUUUGUGAGGAGAAAAGAGUACUAUAAAAAAGUUGGAAAGGCUUGGAAAAGAGGGUAUCUUUUGUAUGGGCCUCCGGGGACUGGGAAAUCGAGCUUGAUUGCAGCAAUGGCGAAUUAUUUGAAGUUUGACGUCUAUGAUUUGGACCUUACCAGUUUGUAUGACAAUUCUGAUUUGAAAGAGACUUUGCUCUCGACUACCACCCGAUCCAUUAUUGUGAUUGAAGAUAUUGAUUGCAGUGCUCCGAUGCUCAACCGGGAUGCUGAGCCUGAACCUUCUGAUACCAAGGUUAGUCGAAUUUUUCAUGGUAGAAUUCGAUUACUUGCUUUACCUGUAUUAUUUUUACAUGCUGUCCGUACAUAAUGAUUUAUAUGCGGUGAGAUAUGAUUGAGUCGGAAUUCUUUCAAUAAAAAAAAUAAAUUCAUUCUCCACCCUUUCUUUAACAUCUCAUUUGCAUGUAAACUAACUCCAUUAUCUGCAAGUAGCAUUAUUCUUAUUUCCCUUCCUGCUAUUAGUGGUGUUCAGAGGCCUGAAAUCCUGGCUUAUGGGUCUAGCACGAGCUUGUCUCUGCUGAUAUGGAAUUCUGGUCGGGCUAGUUUAGCCCCUGUUUGACUCUUUCUAAAUUAAAUGAAAUUAUUUAUUUUUCAUAUUUAUUUUCAACCACACAUUCACAUUCACAUGGUAAAAUAUUCUGCCCGUAAACUCGAAAUUUUUUCAUACUUUUUAACCAUAUUUUUCAGAAAAAUCAUAGUUCAAAACAUCAUUUCCCCCCUAUUAUAAUGGCCCAUCUAACGGACAGACUUAGACAUCAUCCUUACUAUAGUGGUUCAAUGUUAAAAUUGACAACCAGGAGGAUUAGUCCCCUGUUAAAGCAGAGUUAAAAUUUUUGCACACAGGACUGAGAUUUGUAAGGAAUUUUGUUAUCUUCGUUGCCUAAAUUUUGAUGUUCAUAUUUAUUGCAGUUAACUCUAUCGGGUUUGCUCAACUUCAUGGAUGGACUAUGGUCGAAUUGUGGAGAUGAAAGAAUCGUAAUUUUUACAACAAACCACAAGGAGAAGAUCGAUCCUGCCCUGUUGCGUCCUGGCCGGAUGGACAUGCACAUUCACAUGUCUUACUGCACACCUGCUGGAUUCCACGUCCUGGCAUCGAAUUAUUUAGCAAUCGAGGAUCAUCCGAGGCUGUUUCCCGAGAUAAAAAGACUAAUGCAGGAAGUUCAAGUCACACCAGCUGAAAUUGCAGAGCACUUGAUGAGAAAUGAGAAUGCUGAACUAGCACUUGAAGGUGUGAUUGAUUUGCUUAAAAGGAAAAAAACUGAAGCUGAUGAGGAGAAAGUUAAAGAGAAAAGCCUGGAGACAAACGCUGGAGUUAAAGUUCAAGAAGAGGUAAAAAAAGGCGC
rnacentral:lncRNA from 1 species